AAAGCGGUGGUGUAAUAGAAGCACAAGGGAGCUCAUAACCCCAAAGUGCAGGUGCAAAUCCUGCCCGCUUUC
rnacentral:tRNA from 1 species